rnacentral:misc_RNA from 1 species
AAGUCGUAACAAGGUUUCCGUAGGUGAACCUGCGGAAGGAUCAUUAUUGAAUUAUGUUUCUAGAUGGGUUGUAGCUGGCUCUUUGGAGCAUGUGCACGCCUGUUUGGACUUCAUCUUCAUCCACCUGUGCACCUAUUGUAGUCUUUGGUUGGGUAAUGAGGAAGUGGCCAGCCUAUCAGCACCUGCUGGAUGUGAGGGCUUGCAAUGCGAAAGCUUUGCUGUCCUUUACUUGGCCAUUGAGUCGUUUUCUCACCAGAGUCUAUGUUAUUUCAUUAUACCCUGUUGAAUGUCAUUGAAUGUCUUUACAUGGGCUUGUAUGCCUAUGAAAAUUGUAAUACAACUUUCAGCAACGGAUCUCUUGGCUCUC